rnacentral:rRNA from 1 species
AGAGUUUGAUCCUGGCUCAGAGUGAACGCUGGCGGCGUGCUUAACACAUGCAAGUCGAACGAGAACGGAUAUUAGCUUGCUAAUAUUGUCAGCUAAGUGGCGCACGGGUGAGUAAUAUAUAGUUAAUCUGCCCUAGAGAGAGGGAUAACAUUUGGAAACGAAUGCUAACACCUUAUAUGCCUUUAAGUCAUAAGACUGCCAAGGGAAACAUUUAUGGCUCUAGGAUGAGACUGUACGGUAUCAGCUAGUUGGUGAGGUAAUGGCUCACCAAGGCAAUGACACCUAACUGGUUUGAGAGGAUGAUCAGUCACACUGGAACUGAGACACGGUCCAGACUCCUACGGGAGGCAGCAGUGGGGAAUAUUGCACAAUGGACGAAAGUCUGAUGCAGCAACGCCGCGUGGAGGAUGACACAUUUCGGUGCGUAAACUCCUUUUAUAUAGGAAGAUAAUGACGGGUACUAUAUGAAUAA